rnacentral:tRNA from 1 species
GCCGCGGUGGUGGAAUGGUAGACACGAAGGCCUUAAGAGCCUUUUCCCUUUCGGGAGUGGAGGUUCGAGUCCUCUUCGCGGUA